GGGGGUGAUCGGUUUCGACAGUGGCCGUGGAGUGAGGAGAAGCGGGCCGAGGAAGGCGACGAUGAUCUCGUGAACCACCCGUCGCAACCAAAAUCAAAUGCCGAGAACAAAUCUCAGCAGGAGUUCACCCUCGCCGCCUGAGCGAGACUGAACUCUCGUCAGACCGGGACCGCCUCCGGCCCGGACCCUGACGUCAGCUAGGAGGCUCACCGCCGGGUCCGGUCACGGGGCCCGACGGGACAUCUCGCAGUGACUGGGCCUGUCGCACCACACUUGUUCGCGUGAUUGGUGGGGCCGAGUAGGGACAGAGCGAACUGCGCCCGGAGAAGUCCUCUCGAAGCGACAUUGGACGCGGGUUCGAUUCCCGCCACCUCCACAU
rnacentral:tmRNA from 1 species